ACUUAAGAGAAAAUUUCAUUCAGCAAAAUAGAACUUGCCUUGUAAAGUAUAACAGUAACAUACCGGGCGGAGUGAGAGCGUAAAAAGGAAAAAAAAAAAAGAAGAAAAAUAGGUAGAGAACACAAAAACUUGAAGUGUGACUAUCGUAGUGUGGUUGAACCUUCUUCGCUUUCAUUGUUAUUGAGAGAUCAACGCAGAAAACUUUGAAACAUAUCUGUAGUAUAAAGACCAGGACCGAAAGUUGUAAAGAAUGUACCGAAUUGUCUGGCUCAGUUUGCUUGGUUUUGCAUACAUCCAACAGUAUCGGUGUUGGCGAUCACCAGACCAAACACAAAGCCUACAUCUGAACCAAAUCAAUCCAAGAUUUUACCGAGAAAACACACUUUUUAAGCGUGCUAACAAAGUUCAUAGCUUACCAGAGAAUAGCAUCCCACGGAGAAUUUCAAGACAAUCGGGUAGUGCAUAUUGUAACCGUAUAUGUUCUUAUUGUUUAAAUAGACAUAUCGUUUUGAGUUGUGUUCAUUAUUGUGAUCCCGGUCGAAGCGAUUAUGCUAUGUGUUUUACUUUCUAUACAGAAGCGAUGCGACGGCAAUCGGCCCGCUAAUGUAAAUAUUGUAAUUUCACGGAAACUGAAGAAAAAAUAAUAGAAACUUCGUGUUAAACAAACAUAUUAAAUGACCUGAAAAACAUUCGCAGAGAAAAAAAAUGGUAUUAAAUUAUUUACAAAUGGGAACGAUGAGAAACAAGCAAGCAAACAAACAAACAAAAUAAGCAUACAAUUUUUUUUUAAUGGUGGUAGUGACUUUGCACCAUGUUACAGGACAAGAAAAAUAACAGUUCGAAUGAACACUGACAAAAGACUUCGCUCAAACUUAAGAUAUGAACUGAGACUCAAUGUUUAAAGAAUACGGACAGACAUUAAUCUAUAUUGCAAGAUUUGUUUAGUUCAUGUCGAUUAUCAGUGAAGAGAGAACUAUUGGCUACAGAAAAUGAAAACAAACUCGCAAACUCGUCAUACUUACUAUUCAUUCAAUACAAAACGAACUUUCAGGUUGUGUUGGGAUCUUCUGGAUAUUGUCAUUGAAGCAUUUAAAGAAUCUCUACUUUAAAAGAUUAUUUAUAACUUAAUACAACUUUAAAUUAUAUUUCGAUAUUUUCUUCGGGCUAUUGGACUGCAACUUAUUUUAGAAGGGAAAACAAUAUUUAUUUCUGUUUCGUUUUCGAAUAAUUAGUUAAUAUUUAUUAUCAUGCCUGCUUAUUAUUAGACACAUGACAUAAAAAUAAUUAUUUUCUCUCGUCUUAGUCUAAAUUAUUUUGGGUGGGUAAAUAUUGUAUGCAAGAAAGGAGAUUAAUGGAAAACUAAAUUUCCAGAUCAAAAUGAAUCUAAUAUCAAGUUGCAGAUAUUUCAUGAAAUGAUCACACUGAAUUGUGUUUCUUGGUGGAAUAAAAGACGGUAAAUUUGUUGCCUGGGGAUAAACAGAUUCAAUUGUUGAAUAAUGUGGAAAAUAAAACGACACUCUAAAGAAUA